rnacentral:lncRNA from 1 species
UGUUUUUAAUGUUAUCUCUUUGUUACAAGCUUUUGCUCAAUAAGGACAUAAAUGAAUCAACUCAAUAUUUCUUCAACAAUUGAUGGAGCUGAAAUAAAAUCAAUCCAUAAGAAAAGUUAACAAAAUGAAUGAAUUUCAAUACGGUUAAAAUAAUUAAAAACCAACCAACAUCAUAACAAUAAAAAAAUGGAAUAACCCCACCAAAAACAAGCUUUUUGGCGUUAACAUCAACAAUAAAAAGGCAAAAAAAAAGGUGAGUAUAGGGAUGAAGUCAUUAAGUAUUGACAUAUAUAUAUAUAUAUAUAUAUAUAGAGAGAGAGAGAGAAAAUUACCAUGCAAAAAAGACAAAAAUAUGCAAUAAAAGAAGUCUCCUUCUUGCGAUUAUUUUUCUUGUGCAUAGGGAGGAAAUGCAAUGUUUGUUGAGAAGGGGGUGAUAGGUAAGAGCAAAU